rnacentral:lncRNA from 1 species
UUUUUAAAAAAAAAAAUAUAAUAAUAAAAGCGGUAAAAAGAUAAAAUUUGCACAUGAGCUCAUAAUUGUAUAAAACUCAUUUAAGCCAAAUAUGACAGUUGAGCGAUCGUGCUAGAACCACGGAACUCGGGAAUGCCUAACACCUUCUCCCGGGUUAACAGAAUUCCUUAUCCGAAUUUCUGGUGCGCAGACUGUAAUACAGAGUCAUUCUUUUCCUCGAUUCGGGAUUAAAAUUGGUGACUUGGGACACCCUAAAUCUCCCAAGUGGCGACUCUGAAAUAAAUAACUAAAUCCCGUUUCGACUGUCCUUUAAUUGGAAAAAACUCCCUACUACCCCCGAAGGGACGGAAAAAGGAGGUGUGACAAUUACAACGACACUGGCUGGCUUUUAAGUGUCUAAGGUUUUUGGUAUAUGUUGAAGGGUGUUCCUAGGUUGAAAAAGAAGGUCACGGCCGGGGGUGGGGUUCUUUGGGUGGUUGUUUGGUUGUGAGAGAGAGAGAAAGGGAGUUGGCAGCGGUCGUUUUUGUGUCGUGAAGAAGAAGGUCCUCCAGGGGUCUUGCGGUUGUGUUCCUUAUAUAGAAGAAGAAGAGUUUUCAGGGUUCCUUCCCUUUGCUUUCCUCUGUUUUUCUCUCGUGUCCCUUUUCUAAGAAUUGUCCUACCCCCUUUUAUAAAUACUAAAAAGUGAUUCCCUUUCUUGUUCCCCCGUCCUUGGAAUAUUCUUGGGGAGGAAGUUAGAAAUCUGAGCCAAACCGUGUGGUCCCAAAAUUGUGUGUGUCAUGUAGUAUAUAGAAAAAUUAAUAUUAUACAAUUGUGAUCCAAAGAUAAUUAAAAAUGAAUGCUCAGAUAAAUGCAACGUGAAUAUGUAAUGCAAGUGAGAAUUGUGCAUGUUAUGUUGUUAUAGGAUUUUGUCCAUUUGUGAUGAUGUGUCUUCAUGUCAUUUGGUCUUUUCUCUUCUUUUUUUUUUUUGAAAUAAAAUGAAAAGUAAAGAAACUAACAUACCAAUAAUUAGCUAUGUACCUGCACCAAAUAUAUAUAUAUAUAUAUGAAAGCAAAAUCAUUUAAUACUACUUAUCGAAAAUCUUAGGCGUAAUGACUUCCUGACCACUUAAACUUGUACCAGUUUGUAAAACCGAUACAUGAAAUUAUAUUUGUCUCAUUUGAACACUUCAACUUAACGGAAUGAAUACUAAUAAACACUUUCUGCUGAGCGUGUUCGUCAAUCGCGCUGACAUGAAUGCCAUGUCACAUGUUUGGUCUUUAUUAUAUGACAUGUGGAUUUGUAGGUCCUAUAUUAUUAAAAAAAAUGACGUUACAAAUUAGUAACAUUAUCAUCUUCAAACAUAAAAAAGGAUCAGAAAUUUUACCUCCAAUAAGCCAUUAGUAGCCAAAACUUGCAAAGCUAUUUGUGCUUCACUCAACUGAAGGUCAGCCUUGCUGGCAACACUGUAACAUCCAUUAACAUUUUUCACACAGAUCUGGAUAAAUUGCAUUCUGAAGAGAGUGAUUACCGAAUGAAAGAGUCAGAGGAAGAAGAAGAAUCAGUGAAGUUAGGAAUAGAAGCGUAAAUUCCUUCGUUGCUGCCGUGGACAACAAAUGCAUUGCCUUUGCUCACGAAUUUCUCACCAUUGUAGUCAUUCACCGAAGCUUCUGUGAAAUGGAGCAAACCUAACCACUAGGAUUAUUCCUGAAGCUCCAGCUAACUUCAACCACUGCAUUUAACCCUAUCAUAAAAUAAAAAAAAAUUACAGAAUGGGGCUGAGAGUUUGCUUGGGAAGAUGAGAGAGGUGGGAGGAGAGGGGAAAAGAGCAGGGAAGAGAGAAAUAUUUUGCUUCUUUUCCUUUUUCUUUCUUAUUUAUAUUUUAUUCUAUUUUUAAUAUUUUUUUAAUAGAAAUAAAACUAUGCACGCGCUUUGGCAGCGUGAUUUGCACACAAUUUAGCCAUGUCAGCUGUGCCACUUCUAUAUAGGCUUGGUCAAUGGUCAAAUGUGUUUAUUAAUAUUCACUCCGUCAAGUUGAAGUGUUCAAAUGGGAAAAAUAAAAGUUCAUGUAUCGGCUUUACAAACCGAUACACGUUUAAGUGGUCAGGAAACCAUUACGCCAAAAUCUUAUACUAAACUUUAAAAAGAAAUUAUUUUUGGUGUUUCUUCUCUUUGGAUAAAAUUGCACUAGCUAACAAAGUUAAAGCCAAUACGAUAAAACCCCAAUAUGUAAAAAAAGCAUGUUCAAAAGUAAGAUAAAAUAAAAGUAAAUACACAAAAUAUCAAUUAGCUAAAAUAAAAGAAAAUAUUUUUUGCAAUUUUUAUUUUAUGAUAAAAUAAAGUAAAAAAGUAAAAACUAGUUGAAAUAGUGAUAUUAUGUCUAAACUAAAUAUUUAAAUGCUAAAAUAUGUAAAAUCUUAGGGAGAGUUAAAACUCAAAACUUACAUGUCUACAACUGCCCCUCUUUGACUGAAAACACGAAGAGUUUUCAGAUAAAGAAUGACGAGACAGGUUUUUUUGACCCGACCCUUAUUUAGAGAGACCAAAAACUAAGUGAAAAGAGAAUGUGACCGAACCCUGGUAUCUGAGCUACCUACAUAUCCUUGGCUAUAAAGGAAUCAGGUCACGUAUAGUUCAGAAGUAGGAAGAGUGACGGAGUUUACCGAGGUGGAGAGCCGAUUGAGGUGCCGUCGAGGUUUCGGUCCGGGGUCAUGUUAUUACAUCAAAUCAAAAUCUAAAAGAACUAAGCAAGCCUGUAAGCUAUGAGUUACAAGAUUCCUAUCUAUAAGUCUACUAAAUUUUAAUCUUGAAUCUUGAAUGGUUCUUCAUGCAAACUUUGAUUUGAACCUUGAUGCUUGCUAGUUGCAGGUACUGAUUCAUUCUUUCACGACUUCUUUGGAUCAAGAUCGGACAUGCAGUGCUCGUAACUUCAACCCUGUCUUGAGCAGUUCACAUCUUUCAUCUGCUUCUGCAUUUGGAUUUACUUUUUCUUCUUUUUAUCUUUUUCUUUUUCUUACAUUCUGGAUUGAGACUUCUUCUUUUGGUCAUCUCAGAAUGUCGACUCGCAUUCUUGAGGUGAGCUUCUAACUUGAAUUAAAUUUUGAAAUGACUUCCUUCGUUCUUCAGGUGGGCGCCUGCUACUGACUUGAAACUUGAAAUGACUCUGAAAUGAAUUCUGAAAUGUCUUCCCUCGUUCUCCAGGUGGGUGCCUGCAGUCAAAACAACAAAACAAACAAAAUUUUCUGUCCCAGUUUGCACUAGAAAGAUUUGUGAGUUGUUAGCAAAAUUGUAAACCACUUAUGCUAUUGAUGCAAUGAUGAGAGUAAAUUAAAGUCUCGACUAGGAUGUGUGUCUCCUGUGAGUAAAACCAAGAAUAUUUGACUAGCAAGUGCAUAUGCUAAGAAUAAAACCUGAAUGACCCAGGCUAGGAAGUGCGUCUCCUAGAUUUAAGAUUGAGCUUGCGGAAAACUAUAAACUAAGCUUGACUAAAGUAAAAACUGACUCUAUUCUCCAGGCGGGACCCCUGAUUUCAAGAAAACUAAAGAUUAAUAACUUAAGAAAACUGAAAUUGACCCUUUUUUUUCAAAUUCGGACCUCCUUUUUUUUUAAAUUAUUAUCCUAGGAGAAAAUUCAUCAGACUAGGUUUUAAUAUUAGGAGAAAGAUUCAUCAGACAAAGAUUUUGAUCCUAGGAGAAAGUUCAUCAGACUAUGUCUUUUUUUUUUGGUAUCUUAGGAGAAAUAUUCAUCAAACUAAGAUUUUUAUCCUUGGAGAAAGUUCAUCAGACUAGGUCUUCUAUCUUAAGAGAAAAAUUCAUCAAACUAAGACUUCGAUCCUAUGAGAAAAUUCAUCAGACUAAGGUCCAUUUUUGCUAUCUUAGGAGAAAGAUUUAUCAUACUAAGAUUUCUAUCAUAGGAGAAAGUUCAUCAGACUAGAUCUUCUUUCUUAGGAGAAAAAUUCAUCAGACUAAGAUUUGAUCCUAGGAGAAAGUUCAUCAGACUAGGUCUUCUAUCUUAGGAGAAAGUUCAUCAGACUAAGACUUCGAUCCUAGGAGAAAAUUCAUCAGACUAGAUCCAUUUUUGCUAUCUUAGGAGAAAGAUUCAUCAGACUAAGAUUUCUAUCCUAGGAGAAAAUUUAUUAGACUAGGUUUUCUAUCUUAGGAUAAAAAUUCAUCAGACUAAGAUUUCUAUUGGGAGGAAAAUCCCUCAGACUAGGACUUUUAUCCUAGGAGGAAAAAUGCGAAGAGCAAUGACAACAUUUUAUGCACACUAGCAAGACAGAUAAAGGCAAAGAUUUAAGAAACUUCUCUUUCUCGGCUCUUCUCUCCUUUUUUUCUUUUUCUUUAUUUUUUUUUGUUUUUGAACCAACUUGCUUGCACUGCUUUGUUUAUGUUUCAAACAAAGAAAAUUUGUGAGUUUAAAAUGUGGUGGUUAGUUUGUGGCCUUGACUACAAGGGCGAUUUCUCUUGCACUUGUCACGAUCAACUUGGAAAACAGUGCUUGCUAUCGGCCGAUCGCUUUUCCGGACCGCCCUUAUCACAAGAAAUAUUCCUGAGUCGUUCAAAUCCAAUACCUUAUACCCGAUACAUUGCCCUUGUAUUCUAUCAUUUACCAAAUCUUUGCAUUUUACCUCAAUCCCAAAGAAUAUCUAUUAUCGCCAAAUAAGUACACCCCCUAUUUUCAUGCGUCUUAUGACAAUUUGAUGUGCUUGGAAGACAUCGGCUUCGUGUGAUUAAAAAGCUGCUAGAAGAUUCUGAUUUUAUUUCUCACUUGUUUCGACAAAAACAGACUCAAAAGGGACUCAAACAAAACGAGAGGAGCAAGAUAAGGAAAAAACGAGAAGAGAUGGUAUCUAACAAGAAAAAACUUUUACCAGGAAAAAGAACAAAGUAGAAACUAAUCUGAUUUGAAGGCCAUCCCCACUGACUAUGACAUGCAUUUUGGAUUAAGCGGCUUGAUCUAUCAAGCGAGUCUAAUCUUCAACCCUUUUUAUGCCUCUAAGUUGUGAAACUGGGCUUCAGCGCUCCAAUUGUCCUAUUUGAUCCACAAUCCUCAAUUGACUUAUAGUGCCCUGAAGAGUUUUCACCAUCAAACCUCUCUCAUUUUGCUUUUUCUCAACUCACAGUCGCGUUACGGUGCCCAUGAAGGUUUUCACCUAUAAGACUCUCCCAUUUUAUCAUUUUCUCUCUUUGCAAUGAGAACUACGGUAUUACCCAUGAUGCAGGAAGACCAUACUUUCACCACACACUUUAUUUGGCAUCCUCAAAGAUUGGUCGGAAGGUCUUUCUUUCGACCGUAAUGUAGGCUUUUGGACAGGGUUGGAAAGAAAGGGUGGCAUAAAGGCUCAAAAUAAUUUAAGAUGAAAGGGUUCAAAAUUAUAACUUUUGGAACCAAAUCUUUUGGCAAAAUUAAAACUUCUGCCCCAGUUUCUUGGAGUCUAGGAAUUUAUUUUUCUUUUUUCUCCUUUUUUUUGGAUUUUUGCUUUCAUGGGACCGAACCUCAGAGUAAGGCUGCCUACGUAUCCUUAAAAGAAAUCAGUUCGAACAUAGUUCCAAUACAAAGUUAGAUUAUUUUAUUAUUUUUCUUUUCCUUUUCUUUCUUUUUGUUUUCCUUUUUUUCUCUUUUUUUUCUUUUACUUUCUCUUUCUUCUUUUUCUCCUUUUCUUUAUCUUUUCUAGUUCCUAACUCUGCUUCUAAUUCCAAAAGAGGGGUAUAAAAUAAAACAAAUUAAGGCUCAAAAGGGGUAGCAAAAGAUAAAAGUGUUUGGGUAGCAGAAUAAAAUGCCUUUGUCAUACCAAACUUUAAGAAUGACAAGUACAAACAUGCAAUCGAAGAUAAGCAAAGAAGUCAUACAUAGUAUCUAUUGAUGGCAUCAACACAAACAAAAAGUGCCAAUGGGCAAUACCUUUGUCCCAAUGAAUGACUCUUUCUAGUUCGAAGUAGACUUGACUCAACCUUAUCUUGAUAUGGAAGAAUGCAUUUGAUCACUGACUGAUCAAACUCAAAUUGCUUGAGAGACAUUUCCUUGUUGUAUGCUCUUAAUAACCUUUUGAUUUCCUAGACUAACUGCCUCAGUUUCACUCAGUUUAAGCUUUAGGUUAUCUCAGAAUGCGUGAAUCUUUACUUGUUUCCUCAGAUGCAUCCUUUUAUCAUAUUCAAAACUGUGCCAUUGCUUCAUGAUUAGACUAACUUUCAAGACCAGGCUGAGAAUUAUGCGUGCAGGUCAUGUCACUAGAGUCAGCAUAAAAAGAACUAUAAAAGAAAAAAUGACCUAAACAAAAACUGACUAGAACUAACAGAAAAUAAGAGAUUGCAUUAGACAGAUGGUGAAAACGGUUUGAACAAACAAGCAAAAUAGACAUAGGUUACACCCCUGGAAUAAUCCUAGAUGACACUAGACAAGUUACUACCACUAAACGAACUAGACAAAAUAAGAAGAAGAAGGGUUUGAGCCAUAAGACAAUAUUCGAAUUACAACCCUGAAAUAACCCGGACAACGGAAAUGACAACAAAAUAAAUCACCAAAACUCCUCCUUGGCUAGCCAAGAAAGGAGUGUCUUUCCAAACCAAGCUCAACAUCUUAGCCGCUGUGUUGCACAUCAAAAUUACUGGGACCUUCACCAAUUUCAAUAUCAUUAACUUCAAUCAGCAAGUUCCCAAGAGGAUUCUCAUACUUCCUGUCACCACGUAUCAUCCCCACUGAGUGUGCAUCAUCAUGUGCAGGUAAAGGAUUUUGCAUGAUAUUUUGGGCAUCACUGUCUUGGAUCACAAUAAGUUUGUCCUGGAUCUUCCUUUCUAUUUCUCUUUUCAAAUCCCUCUCACACCUCCUUUUUCCGCCCCCGCGAGGGGUGAAGGGAGUUUUUUCCAAUUAAAGGACAAUCGAAACGGAAUUUGUUUAAUUAUUUCAGAGUCGCCACUUGGGAGAUUUAGGGUGUCCCAAGUCACCAAUUUUAAUCCCGAAUCGAGGAAAAGAAUGACUCUGUAUUACAGUCUGCGAACCAAAAAUCCAUAUAUGGAAUUAUGUUAACCCGAGAGAAGGUGUUAGGCAUUCCUGAGUUCCGUGGUUCUAGCACGGUCGCUCAACUGUCAUAUUUGGCUUAAAUAUCUGAUUUUUAUACAAUUGUGAGCUCAUCUGCAAAUUUUUAACUCUUUACCGCUUUUAUUAUUAUAUUUUUAAAAGAAUGUGAACAUCGUUUAAAAACAUGUCUUUGGAUUGCGUCACAUAAAAUACACCCGCGAUCCGGAACAUAUUUUUAUUCAAUGUUUUGGGAUUUGGAUUUGGGUCGCAUAAAUGCGCACCCGAGUUUAGGAAUGAAUGAUUAUUAAAAUCGUGCCUAAAGCAAUUAGCGUAUUAUUAUUUCUGGGCAAGACCGUGGAAUUCACUAAACAGUCCAUCCCGAAUUCUAAAUAUUCAAUUAAACAUUUAUUGAGGGCCCUGCAAUUGGUGCAUUUUAUUGGGCGAGGCUCAUCUCAUUUAUUUUUAAAAGACAGUCCUAAAAUGCCUACAUUUUUCUCUUAUUAAAUUUGUCUCUACAAAAUAAAAGGGAAAAUGUCUUAAUUUAUUUACAUGCUUGAGUUGUUAUAGAUGAGUUUCGAAUAUGAUUCAUAAAAUCUGAAAAUGAUGCAAACAGGACAGUCCGUUGCCACUGCGGGCCCAGGCCCAACGUGUAUGACAUAAAACUAGACCUGGGCCGUCUUAUUCACAUGUUACUACCUAGUUACAUUAUACUGGGCAUGUUCUCAGUUUGUCAAAUUAAAAGAAAACUUAGCAAUCUAAUUUUAAUCCUAGACCAUUUACAUGCUGAAAUUAACCAAUAUUAUUUAUCUAAACAAUAUUCCUACCAGGUUCCGAAAUGGCCUAUUCGUUUGAUUUUUAACUAGACGGAGUUACUACACCAUUUUAUUUAUUUUUAGGCAAUAUAUAGAUAGUUCAUCCGUUAAGCUAUUGUCAGAUGUUCCACUAUAUAUAUUAAAUAGCUACAUGAUUCUAAUUUUUGUAAGCUAAAUAAUUUAUAUAUACAAAUAAAAUUCAGAAUAUAAUUAAAAUAAAUUUAGAACUUCAACUCUUCAUUUUCGUAUUCAUGCUUCCUGUUUCAGUUUACAAUAAUCAGCGUGUCAGUUGUGUACAUGAUAUUGGAAGCAAAAGAAAAGGGAGAUCAGCAGAAAUUCAGUAGCAUACAACAACAGCAACCCCAGCAACCAGUAACAACCAGCAACGAGAAACUUAGUGACAGAUUUUAAAAUCAAGACAAAAAUCCAAAAAUACCAACAACAAUCAACGGACAUAAGCAAAUGGAAUCUUUUCAGAUUUUGAAAGACUAGUUAGUGUUUAACCCUUAAUUUCUGAAUCCGUAUAUCAGAAUAUUUGGAUUGUAUAUCAGGUGUAUACUAUUCUUCUUUUGAAUUUCCAGAAUGCUUUUCUUUUUAUUUUCUGAAGUCUUAGUAUUUUUCGGAAUUUCCUCUCUCUUCAAAUUUUCUUCUGUAUUUUGUCCUCUUUUUAUUCUCUGUCCUCUUUUCUCCGUAUUCUUCUCCUGAAAUCUGAUUCAAGUCUUUUAUUUAUAUCACAUCCCAAACCCUUUAAUCAAUUAAUAAAAUCACACUUUCUCCUACCAAACUCACUAUCUUCCCACUCAUCCCCCACUACAUUAAACAAAUAUAUCAAACUAUCUCAUUACAUCUUGUUCCCCAUGCCUACCAUAAACAAUUACAAUAUUCCCCUCCCCCCCACUACAUUAUGUCUUGUCCCCCAUUAUAUUAAACAAUUAUAUCACCCACACCCCAUUACAUUUUGUCCCUCAUGCUUAACAUAAAGAAUUAUUCAAAAUGUUCAAUUCCCAAACUACCCCUCCGACCUUAUUGCAAUUACCAUUUUACCCCUGAACGUACUGCAAUUUACCAAACUACCCCAUCAGCUAUAACCAAUUCACCUAAUCAAUCUCAACCAAAAUAUAGCCAAUAUGACCAAUUUCUCAGCAAAUUCAACAACAAAUCAUAUGAACACAGAUGAACAACAUCAAAUUAAUGGAAAUAAAUUAACCAUAUUGGGAACCAAUCCUGGUUAACAUAGACCAAAAAUGGAUGGGCAAGGAAAUAACAACAUUAACAACACAAUACAUGAUUCAAACUAAAUCAACAAAUCAAAAACAAAACAAACUCACGUUAAAUAACUAGAUGAACUUCAAACAAAGAAUAAACAUGCAUUAAAAUCUAUUUUAAACAACAAAACGUGACGGAUUCAAAUGAUUUAAACAACGUUAACAAUUUUUGAAAAAAUACAUAAAACACAUGAAACAAAUUGAAGAAAUAAUUAAUUAAAUUUCAAUUUGAAUCUAACAAACAUUAAACUAACAAUUUCUACCUAAACAAUAAACAAGAACAAUAAAACAAAUAUGAGACAAACUGAAAAAUUAACAAAACAAUGAACACGAAACAAAACAAAAAUUUCCCGAUUUUAGAUUUGAGAAUAUCAAAACAAAAUACGGACAAAAUGUAAAACUCAAAAUCCACUAACCGGAUCGAAACGUCGAACAACGACUGACCAACGACGAACUCGAACAAACGACGGAGACGAUCCUAAGAAGCAACUGAAGGAGGUGAAGCAAACGUGAAGCAACAACAAUGGGGUCUGUUUGGACGUAGCGAAGAAGAAGCAGUAGCAGCUGGUCGUUUGGAUGGAGACAAGUGAAGCGAAGCCUCACGUCCAUGGCUGGAGCUCGACCACUCAACUCGAGCUCGACGAAACGAAGAAGAUGAAGCAGCCGCGACUGGGUUUCUUUGAACCAGCUGCUCGACGGGCAGCAGCAGUAGAAGAAGCAGACGAUGCAACAGAAGACGCAGCCACGCAGCAGUGAAGCAGUAGCAGCUGCUACUGCUGAGCAUGCUCGACGGACAUGGGAGCUUUGGUGGUCGUCCAUGGCUGCUCGGAGAUGGAGAUGGUGAUCGUUUGGAUGCGAGGCGUUGGCUGCUGAGGUGGUUGUGUUGUGGUCGACAACGAUACGAAAACAAAAUAAUGGCAGCCAUGGCUGCCUGUGUCGAUGAAGCAUAAACUUGGGCGAAGCAAGCAAAAGUCGGCCAUGGCCGUGUUAUGGACGAAACAGCAACAAUCAGCGAAGGGGACGUCGUGGGGAUGAGGGUGGAUGUGUUGUGUAUGUGUGUGUUGACGGAGGAUGAAGGGGACGACGGGGGAGGGAAACAGGCAGCAGCCAUGGCUGCUAAGCUUGGAGAGUUUGUGGUCUUGGAGAAGAAGAGAAAGAGAGGGGGGGCGGGUAGUGUAGGUUAGUUUUAGGGUUUUUUCUUUUGUUUUGUUUUUGAAAUGUAAGAUAAUAGGGGUGUUGGGUUAUGGACUGGGUCGACCCGGUUUGAAAUGGACCGGGUCAUGGGGAAGGUUGGGCAAUUUUUUGGGCCUGUGGUUUGAAAUUGAAGAAGAGGCCCAAUUCCGAUUUUUUGUAUUUUUGCUCUCUUUUCUUCUUUUAUUUUUCUAAAACUAAAUUCUAAAAAUCCUUAAAUUAUUAUUAAGAACUAAAUUAAGUUAUAAAAGCGCAAAUUAACUCCCAAUAACAAUUAACGCACAAUUAAGUAAUAAUUAAACAUAAAAUUGUAUAUUUGGACAUUAAAUGCUAAAAAUGCAAAAGAUGCCUAUUUUUUUAAUUUUUAAUUUUUGUAAAACAAACUUAAUUACUAACAAUUGUAUAAUUAAAUCCUACAAGCAAAAUGCGACAUAUUUUUGUAUUUUUUAUUAAUUUAGCAAAUAAACAUGCACAGACAAAUACAAAUAAUUAUCCAAAAAUGUCACAAAAAUUCUCAAAAUUGGACACCAAGAAAAAUCAUUUUAUUUUGAAUUUUUUGGGAGUAAUUCUCAUAUAGGGCAAAAAUCACGUGCUUACAAUCCCGACAACUUUCAACAUUGUGCCCCUGGGCAUUGGAAUGGUAUUCACACAUUUUAUAAGGGUCAAAGAUUCUUGCACGCGGGUCCACAUGAUUCGGAGGAAUAGGUGCAAUCAGGUCAUAAUGCUUUAAUUUCUCAAAAAAGCUUAUAUAAAACUCUCCUAUCGCUGUAAAAUUAUCUUUCAACCUUUGUUUACCUCUAUACCCCUGGCUUGGAUGUGGGUUAUGGGGCACUUGAAAAUUCUAUGGAGGUUAGUGGAGAUUUUGUGGUGCUGGCGUUCGCCUUCUGGGGUGUCUUGGUGGCUGGACAACAUACUAGGGUGGAGCAACAGAGUAUUGUGGGUUCUCAGGGGAAUCGUCAAAAAACAAACGAGGCUGGUCAUACCUUCGAGAUGUUGUUCUAGGACCUCUUCUCGACCCUGAUGUCAUCAUGAUUUCUUCAACCUUCUCAUUCGUGCCACUAAAAUUACCAGAUUUAAUUUGGACAACCUGAGUUGCAGCUUUGAGAGCUGCUUGACUUAUAAUUUUGCCUGUCUUAAGGCCAUUCUCCACUAUUUCUCCCAUUUUGAUUGCUUCCGAUAAUGAUUUGCCAACUGCGAACAUCAUGUUUUGAAAGUAAUCAGGCUCUUGAGCCUGAAGGAAGACAGUGAUUAGCUCGUGGUCAUCCAUGGGUGGCUUAACUCUAGCUACUUGUUCUCUCCAUUUAAUGGCAUAUUCCUUGAAACUUUCAAUUGGUUUCUUCUUCAGAUUUGAAAGGGAAUUAUGGUCUGGGGCGAGGUCAAUGUUAUAUUGGAACUGUUUGACAAAGUCCUGGGCCAUGUCAUCCCAGACAUACCAGCAAGAUGAGUUUUGACCCAUAAACCAUUCGGAGGCUACAUUUGUAAGGCUUUCCCCAAAAUAAACCAUCAGUAAUUAUUCAUUUCCUCCCGUACCUUUUAGUUGAUUGCAAUACUUUUUCAAGUGGGCUAUAGGGUCUCCAUGUCCAUCAUACUUUUCAAAUUUGGGAGUCUUGAAACCAAGUGGCAACGAACAUCGGGGAACAUACAUAGAUCCUUGAAGACAAUACUCUUCUAACCUGCCAGCCCUUGUAUGUUUUUCGAAUGUUGUUCUAAACCUUUUAGUCUUUGGGUUAUUUCUUCCGGUGCUAUCUUUCGGGUAGGCUUCUCAAUCUUUGUAGGAAGAUCAAAUAGGUAAGAGUGAUACUCAAGAGAGUGGUAUUGUUCUUGUUGGGUAGCAAAUUAUGACUCAUGAGUUUUCCUCUGCACCACCGUCGGCCGUGGGAUAGUAGAGAUAGGCAUAACUAUAGUGGUUGUCUGAUUGGUUGUCAAUGGCACACUUUAGGGGUGCACAAUAUAAAUUCCAGCUAUAGUCGUACAAUUGGGAUAAAGACUGAACCUAAAUGGAUAGAAUUGAUCAGACAAUGAAAUCGGAGUGGUAGUAGUCGAUAUGGGUGUAAAGUCUGGGAAAAUAUAAGAAAGGGGUGGUCCUUGACCAUUGACCCAUGCUUGACACAUUUCGGACAUUUGUUGUUUCAGCCUUUGGACCCCCCUCUUUCAAUUCAGAUUUUGACUCCACAAUCUCCCUCGAGGGGUCAACAACUCCUAUGUCCAAGUCUUUGCUAGCCAUGGCUACCUUGAUCUUUGACCUUGUACUGUAUGGAUGAAUCACCAAAGUACCACAAACUAACCACCCUCUGUUAUGAUAACAAUGAAAGUAACAAAAAGAGCAAAACAAAGCAAACAUGUUAGCGUUAGGACAUUUAUCAGAUAGAAAUAUCACAUUGCGUACAAUGCACCUAGCAACAAUUAGCAGUUCUAGAGUGACUUCGAGUGUCAAAAGGUCAUUUGGAAUCAUCCCAAUUUUGUUCAUUUCAAUCUUCUCUUUUCUUUCCUCUCGUUUCUUUCUGAUAAACACUCUUUUCUUUCAUCUCACUUCUCACUUCCACGAUUUCUUCUUUUUUUUUCCUUUUUUUCUCUCUUUUUUUUAAUAAUGAUUCGAUCGAACCCUAUGUAGGUUGCCUACGUAUCAUGUCCCCCAUGAAUCAGAUCAAGCGUAGUUCUGGAAAAGUAAUGAACAAAAUAAGCUAAAAACAAAAAAUCUUUUUGGAUUUCCAUUUAUAACUAUCUUUUUUCAAAUACAAAUGGGAAGUACGAUGAAAAAGACUUGACAACUCUUACACCACCUAAAAAACUCAAAACUACUAGUACAAGACUAGAAAAUAAAAGGAAACAUGGAAACAUACUCAAAAUAUAAAGAGUCUCUUCAAACAAGCUCCCAAAUGCAAUGGCCUUGGGAUAUCUGUCAUGUUCGAGCUCUGGUAUAUGGAUCCAUGCAUGAAUGAGAAAAAUAAGACCAAAUAUAAUUAGGUAUUCGAGACACUAUUUGAGGCCAUAAUACAUCCUAUUGGACACAUUCAAGUCAUAAAUGAGGUUGUUUUUGCAAGAAGGCUUAAGUAGUCAACAGUGACUAAAAGUGCAAAACACAAUAAGGAAACACCUCAUCAAGGCCUAUAUGGCCUUACACAUGAGGGAAUCACAACAUCUAAAGUUACUUUGCAAAAAUGACCCCAUUUUGCAAAAAUGGCCUAUGUGGCCAAAAAUGGCUAUGCAUGCAAAUUCAACAGGAAUAGAACUUAAACAAAGAGGACACCUUGUUGUAGACUUAGGGCUCUAAGACAGGGUAAACUUCUUUGAGAAAAUAGCCCUAUUUUGCAAAAACGGCCGAUGUGGCCAAAUGUGGCUAAACAUGCAAGAUUUGGUUAAGACCCUGCGAAGUCAAGAAUCUAAGACUUACUAGGAAGACCGGACUCUAUGUGGGCUGUCUACGUAUCCUGCCUCGAAAAAUGAGAAUCAGGUAUGCGUAGUUCGGGCAGAUUGGACAUGGGAGAAAGAUUUUUAAAAAAAAUGCAACUAAUUUGGAAGAACUAUAUUUUGUCUUUUUGAAAAAUUAUGGAAAAUGUAAAAAUCUUUUGGAUUUUCUUUUUAUUUUUGAAAAUAGAUGGGAAAGUGCAAAAUCUUUUUGGAUUUUUUUUUAAUUUUUAAUUUUUUGGGUCUUUUUCUUGAAAAAGUUGUGAAAGAAAAUCAUAACUGGACCCUACUUGCUUCAUUUUAUAUUUCACCCUCUUUCCCAAACAUCAGUCCGCCAAAUGACCUAUCUACCCUCAAAGAUGCAACAUGUAUCGCACAGGGAUGAUUGAAUGUCUUUUUGGGCCACGGGCCCGUUUUGACAAAAUUUGAAUAGGCCUCAUAUAAAGGAACACAGUGCCUGGGACCGAGCCCUGCUAAGUGUAAAUGACAUGAUGCAAAUAAGCAUGAUACAAAUAAGCAUGACCUAAAGGCUGACCUAAGUUUGGGGUUCACUAGACAAGGCAAUUCGGGGCGGCAUGUGGUCGAUGGCGGCUGCUCUAGCUGUCCGCCCACUCCAUGCUCCCACCCCCUAAACACGGGUGACUCACAAAAAGGCCGUGUACGCUCAAACGUAAUCCGGAAGACUUGCUGCAGAAAGAAGACCCCUGGUUAUGCAAAUGAUGACAGUCUAUAAAGCAGUAACACAUAAAGAAAAGCGAUAAGCAAAUAACCAACAAAAUAAGGAAAUAAGACAAACAAACUAAAUAAAUAAAGCAAAUAAAUAAAACAAACACCUCAAUCAAAUAUCCUAAAAGCCAACAAGAUCAAGUACCAGCUCGAACUUGCAACUCCCCAGCAGAGUCGCUAAAGCUGUCACACCCUUUUUUUUAACCUCACUAAACCCUCUUUAAAGAUAAAAAAGAAUUUUGAAGCUCAAAAAGGGUUUUUAAUUUUGAAAGGUGACAAAAAUGUUGUAUUUCGAAGGAUUUUUCAGAGACGCCACCUGACAUUAGUUUCGGUGUGCCAGGUCACCAUUUUCAAAAUAACAAUUUUCCUUCAAAACACAUUUGACUCUUAAACCAGUUUGCAUCAGAGACUAGGGUAAGGGGGUUUAUUUGACUCGGGGAGAAGGUGUUAGGCAUUUCCCGAGCGCCAUAACUAGUACGGUUGCGUACUCAAUCUAGUUGGCUUUUAAAAUAUUCAAAUGAGGCAAAAAUAAACAGAGAAAAGAAAAAUGAACAAACAAGAGGCUCGAGGUCGUUCCCACCUAAUAAAAGAAAAAUAAAAUUAAAAUAAAAAUACUACGAGUUCUACUUUCGGCCUCUAAAUACAAAUACUUCGGGGCAUACCACGGAUAAAAUAUAUACAAAUUGUGCAGGGCAUUCCCCGAAUAAUAAACUAAAGGAAACGACCUCUCGCCUCGAAUAAAACAAAAGAAGCGACCUACGAUUUGCCUACCCGAGUGUGGUCGGCCUAAACAUGCUACUAGCGGUCAAUAAAAACUAGCAAUAAUGAAACAGAAAUAUUAUCACGUCACAUUAACCCAACUCUAUUUCCUUUAUAUUUCAAAUCUCAUGGCUCCCUUUAUCCAACUUAACUCAGUAGUUCAAUCUUUCAUUUAAUUGAUGAAUGAAGCCAUAAAAGUUAAAUCACGUUAAUUAAGAUAAGCCCCAAAUUUCUAUAAUGGCACAUGCACAGAACUUCAUAUUACUUCAAAAAGAUAACAAUAUCAGAAACAUAUCAACAAAAAAUCACAUGAGGGAUUUAAGAAAAGAUAAAGAGAUUGGACCUCACGGAGAGCAAAUUUCUAAUGUUAACAGAGAAACUUCGAGAGAAUCCUACUGCUUACCGCUGACUAGAAAAGUGAACCGCGCCGGCGACUUCGACGAACCUCAACCAGUUCGAACCUCUUUGCUCGAGACUGAUGUUGGAUCUGUUUUAGUAUUUUUGGGGCUGCUCUAUAGUAGAUUUUCAUAGAGUUUCAGGAGGUUAUUUUAAUAGAGUUUCAUGGACUGACUCUCCUCCUGUUAGGUUGUGCGGCUGCUGAGAAUGGGAAAGAAGAAGAAGCAACGAUGGUUCUGUUGAGUUCCGCUGCUAGGUGUGGAUGAGAAAGGUUGUUGGUGGUGGCCGGAUUUGAAGAGAUGAGGAAGAUGCGGCGGAGAUGGAGGUCUCGCCGGAGAUGGCAGCGGCGACUUGUUUUUAAGGGUCUAGGGUUUUUGGUAUCUAUUAAGGGUGUUCCUUGGUUGAAAAAGAAGGUCACGACUGGGGGUGGGGUUCUUUGGGUGGUUGUUUGGCUGUGAGAGAGAGAGAAAGAAAGGGAGUCGGCCGUGAAGAAGAAGGUCCUCCAGGGGUCUUGCGGCUGUGUUCCUUGUGUAGAAAAAGAAGAGUUUUCAGGGUUCCUUCCCUUUUCUUUCCCCUAUUUUUCUCUUAUGUCCCUUUUCUAAGAAUUGUC